UACGGAGGGUGCAAGCGUUAUCCGGAUUCACUGGGUUUAAAGGGUGCGUAGGCGGUCUUUUAAGUCAGUGGUGAAAGCCUCCAGCUUAACUGGAGAAAUGCCAUUGAUACUGGAAGACUUGAGUACAGACGAGGUAGGCGGAAUUGACAGUGUAGCGGUGAAAUGCAUAGAUAUUGUCAAGAACACCGAUUGCGAAGGCAGCUUACUAGACUGUAACUGACGCUGAGGCACGAAAGUGUGGGGAUCAAACAGG
rnacentral:rRNA from 1 species